UCACUGUCCCUGGGGACUUGUUCCAGGACCCCCUGCAGAUACCAAACUCCACAGAUGUUCAUGUCCCUUAUUGAAAAAGAUAGACUGUAUUUGUAUAUAAUCCCUGUACAUCCUUCUAUAAAGUUUAUAUCAUCUCUGAAUUCUUAUGACACCUAAUAUAAUAUAAAUGCUGUGUACCUAAUUGUUAUACGGUUAUACCUAGUUGUUAUACAAGGAACAGUAACAAGGAAAAAAGUGCUCAGUACAGAUGCAGUGUUUUCCCCGAAUGCGUUCAGUGUACACUUGGUUGAACCUGCAGCUUGGGGACCUGUGGGGCUGGAGGGAUGACUUUGACUUGGCUCACAGUUGCUGAAGUGCUAACGUGGUAUCUGUGUUCAGGAUGCCGAGGAAGACCAUGAAAGAACACAUCAGAUGGCUUUGCUGAGAAAGCUCUGUUUGCCCAUGCUGUGCUUUCUGCUGCAUACCAUCCUGCACAGCACCGGCCAACACCAGGAGUGCCUGCAGUUAGCAGACAUGGUGUCGUCUGAGCGCCACAAACUGUACCUGGUGUUUUCUAAGGAAGAACUGAAGAAAUUGCUGCAGAAGUUGCGGGAAUCCUCUCUGAUGCUCCUCGACCAAGGAUUUGAUCCCCUGGGUUAUGAAAUUCAACCCUAAGUGUUAUAUUCAAUGUGUUCCCACUGGUUUCCAGGAGAAUGGAGCUCCUACAUGUGUAUAUAUAAAAGAUACAAACUUGUUAUUUUGCAUCACUCUGGGAGAAGAUGUAAAAUUUACACACUUGAAUUUUGUACUUUUCAGAAUAUGAUGGUAACAGAAAAUUUUAUGUAUUAUAUCAGUGUUUCCCUAAGUUUUUAAAAUAAAAUUCUAUAAAAUGUU